rnacentral:rRNA from 1 species
ACAAUGGAGAGUUUGAUCCUGGCUCAGGAUGAACGCUAGCGGCAGGCCUAACACAUGCAAGUCGAGGGGUAACAGGAAAGCUUGCUUUCGCUGACGACCGGCGCACGGGUGCGUAACGCGUAUGCAACCUACCUCAUACUGGAGGAUAGCCCCUGGAAACGGGGAUUAAUACUCCAUAGUAUCACGAAUUCGCAUGUUUUUGUGAUUAAAGUUUUUCGGUAUGAGAUGGGCAUGCGUCCCAUUAGCUUGUUGGUGAGGUAACGGCUCACCAAGGCAACGAUGGGUAGGGGGCCUGAGAGGGUGGUCCCCCACACUGGUACUGAGACACGGACCAGACUCCUACGGGAGGCAGCAGUGAGGAAUAUUGGUCAAUGGAGGCAACUCUGAACCAGCCAUGCCGCGUGAAGGAUGACGGCCCUAUGGGUUGUAAACUUCUUUUAUAGAGGAAGAAACUUGUCUACGUGUAGACAACUGACGGUACUCUACGAAUAAGGAUCGGCUAACUCCGUGCCAGCAGCCGCGGUAAUACGGAGGAUCCAAGCGUUAUC